GAAAGCGGGCAGAGAGCCUCCUGCUUCCCUCAAACCCAAGGAUGAGCUGAGCGGAAGCCAAGCGAGCGCUCCGCCCUUUCCCUGUGUGGGACAACCGCACGCCCCCUGCUUUUGCUGUUACUACCUUUGCCUGUUGCUGGCGCGCCUGUUCGGUGAAAGGGCUCUAGGCGCCGAGUUCUCCUUUCAGGUUUUACUCCAACGAAAUCAGGAAGUCACCCACCUAAAAAGAGAGAAAAAGAGGUGCCCACAAACCGCAUCCCGGUUAGGGUGCUACCCUGAGCCGUCCAAGUCUGUUCGGAAAUAAACGCUUCUCACUGUUCGAUAAGGCUUACACCCAACUCCUCAUCAACAGUGCAGUAAGACCAGCACUAGCAGCUGGAACUUCUGGGAGGCUGAGGAAGAGGACUUACCAGCAUUGCCCCCCCCCGGCACUUCCCUUUUGCUGCUGUCAGCCUCAUCUGGAGGAGAGAUGAGUGAACCAGCCGAGAAUCAUCUAGCCAGCUCUAAGUGUCACAUUUCGGUCUGAUGCUCACCACACCCCUGCCACCAUCUUGGGUGAUAGCUGGUGUGUGCAUGCACUCAGUGCACUAGCACAGUAAUGUGGGAGGUGGCAUGGGCUUAAAUAGGUCCAGCUGCACAAUCUCUCAUGUUGCUGCAUCAGCGUGCUAAUAUGCUGCAUGCACAAGCCUGCCAUCACCCAGCACUAGCAUGUUGACGGGCCUAUUUAAGCCUGCACUGGCUGCAUGGAGAGUGUUAAGGGCCUGCUGCAGUCUGAUGCCAGUCCUAUUGGCUCUGCCCCAACCUAAACAGCUACUCAUAACUCAUAACAGAGACUCAAGACAAAGAAACCAGAGUCUAUGACAGAUCCAGAUGCCAGUUCUGUCUCCAUGUCUACGCUAUUAAAGGCCUUCAUGAUGUCAUUCAUCCAUAAUAUCGGGUUCAUUCAUGUGCUCAUUUUUCAACGUUAAAUACCCUUCUGCAUUCUACAAAGGACAAACAGAACAGUCUCUACACAAAAGAAUAAUUGGACACAAAUCUGACAUCAGAAAUAGCAAUAUCCAAAAUGCAGCGGGGAACAUUUCAACCUUCCAAAACACAUCGGAUGAAGCAGAAGUCCACAAAUUUGUAUGCCAUUAUAAAUUUGUUGUUCUUGUGUUACACGACUCUUUGUUGUUUUUGGUAUGAUGAGACUGUCUGUGAUCUUGAUAGCCUGAGCUUUCCAUACUUUAAAGGAAUCUACACAGGAAUCAAGAUAGCAAGAUCUAGGGUUCCCACUGACAAAGGGAUCAAGAUGGCAAGGGUGGCGUGCCUAAUUCUUGCUCCAUGGCAUUAACAGCCCCUCUCCUCUCCAGCUGUGUCUCUCAUUCUGAACUAAAACUCACAAAUACAGCUUUUUCCUUAAGGUUUCCCCACCCACCGUGCCAACCACACAAUCCAUAGGGGUUACACUCCCAUCUCUCCUUUCUCAAUAUUGUGUUGCCACAGCAGAAAAGAAUGUAGUAGCUCAACAGAGAUGCUUAUGUAGUUUCUUUAGCAAGCCACACAUUCCUGAAAAUGAAACAACUGCUGGAGAACAAGGAAAAAAGUGACCAUCACAUGACAUGGGGGAGGGCCUCCACUGAGGAGUGGAUCGGGGAAGUAUUUGGCGGGUCUCACUUGGGCCCGUGUUCUGAAACUGAACUAUGCAGUAGAAGAGAGGGACAACAGGGUCGAAACCCAGCUACAUCCCACCACACUUCACUCACUGGGGUUAUUAGAACAUAGUGGGAUGUACAAGGACAGUGUAGUAACCCCAGCAGUGUAAAUGGCUACUGAAAUUAUUGAACCUAACAGAUUCUGAUGUGAUGGAUUAAUUGAAAUGUUUAUUUUGACUAUGGUUAUGACAAUAAGAUUAUCAUAAUUAGUAAUGAGAUGGAUUAAUCGA